rnacentral:rRNA from 1 species
CCUACGGGAGGCAGCAGUGGGGAAUCUUCCGCAAUGGACGAAAGUCUGACGGAGCAACGCCGCGUGAGUGAUGACGGCCUUCGGGUUGUAAAGCUCUGUUAAUCGGGACGAAAGGCCUUCUUGCGAAUAGUGAGAAGGAUUGACGGUACCGGAAUAGAAAGCCACGGCUAACUACGUGCCAGCAGCCGCGGUAAUACGUAGGUGGCAAGCGUUGUCCGGAAUUAUUGGGCGUAAAGCGCGCGCAGGCGGAUAGGUCAGUCUGUCUUAAAAGUUCGGGGCUUAACCCCGUGAUGGGAUGGAAACUGCUGAUCUAGAGUAUCGGAGAGGAAAGUGGAAUUCCUAGUGUAGCGGUGAAAUGCGUAGAUAUUAGGAAGAACACCAGUGGCGAAGGCGACUUUCUGGACGAAAACUGACGCUGAGGCGCGAAAGCCAGGGGAGCGAACGGGAUUAGAUACCCUUGUAGUC